CAAUAACAGAAAAAAAACUCUCCUAUGCAUCUCUCGGUUUCGUUUUCGUACAAAGUUCUAUCUCUCUCCGAUUCUCUUGGUCACGCAAGCAAAACACAGAGCCACAAAAUCAAACACACCAUGAACCCUAACCCUCAAAUUGGACCAAAAUCGACCUCAAUCAAAUAUUCUCAUUGCUUGUUUCGAAGAGCAGAAAAAGGAAAUCAACGAAAAAUUCGGAUUUUUUCCAUCAAUGAAGCCGACUCAACUCGGUUCUUAACUGAAAAUCUUCAUCGGUUCUUGCUUUUAUUCAAGGGGAGAAUAGAAAGCUAAUAAAGAGCAAGACAAUAUCAGUAACUUUAACAAAUCAACAGCACAACAUCACCUUAGCACCAUGGGAUUUUAGCUGAAAAAAGCUUUUCCCUUUUGUGCUUUUCAUUGGUGAAUCGGUUAAGUUCAAAUAUGGCAUCAGAUGGACACAAAAUACAUCGGCAGAAGCACAUAAAAGUGGCAAUCAGGUUAUGGAGUUGUCCAUUUUGGUGCUAAGUUUGGACUGUUGUGAGAAGUAGGGCACCAGCAAGGUUGGUGUUGCAAAGCAACAGAAAAGUGCAGGUUUUGGCAGCAUGGGGCAGCAAUUUUGGACU